CCUCUUUGCACUGGUGAUUCAGUGAGAGAGCUAGAGAGGGCGCUUCUCACUAAGAGGCUGAUUAUGUUUCAUUUGUCUAUCAGUUGUCUAUCAGAGUAAACCAGUGAAAUC